CUUCCAGAGCUGGGGAGUGUCAUGAUGCACAAAGGUGACAGAUGAAGAAAGCAGAGGGUGUAACUGAAGAAGGAAACAGUAACUACAGCAAAACUGGGCUGAAGCUUAGCAAAACUGUCAUAAAGAGGAAUAAUAACUUCAAUUAAGAGGCAGAGGUUGUGCUCACAGCAGCUUUCUCACACUGUUCCAGUGAGGCAUGCCCAGGUGUUCUAACACAAGAAUAUUCUGCAGAUGUCCACUGCAGCAUUCUUUGUACAUUCCCUGAAAAAAAAAAAAUUGCUUCUGGAGCAACCGGUGUGCACCAUUAAUCCCACGUGCUAGGAGGAAAGGUGGAGGCUAACAAAUGCAGUUUUUAAAAGCAUGAGUGGUGCUAGCAAAUUGUUAUCUAUCUCA